AGAUACAUUGUCAGCUUCUCCUUUAUUAUGAAUGUCCUUUCCUUCCUUUUUCUAUUUUCCCCCCUCUAAAAGAAUCGAGUAUAUUGAAUGGAGAUGUAUGUGCAACGUGAAAGUGAGAAUUCAGAAUAUACAGCAGUCGAAAAUAUUGCAAUGGCAAAUUCAGUCUCAGAGCCUCGUGCGACCAAGUUAAUGAAUUAUUUAGAGCGACUGUGAAUCUCUUCAUUAAGAAGGGUUAUUAAGCCUCGAUCAACUGUUGGCUUAGUGUUGUUAAGAAUUCGACUCAGUGAGCAUAAUUCUUCUGGGCUUGCCCUCUUGAAUAAGCCUUGGAGUAUCGUAUCAACUCCCUCAGGUAGGAGAUUACUCCCUGGAGUUCCUUCACUAUUAUGUUCCUCAGAUGCUCCCUGGAUGUAGCCUCCACUUUCUUCGGGUUGAGAAGGUUGUGGAAUCUG
rnacentral:misc_RNA from 1 species